rnacentral:misc_RNA from 1 species
UGCCGAUGAGCUUCUGCCGAUGAGCAACGCAACCGGUGGAAGUGCUUUGUCUGCCGCAGCUGCUAAACGAGCUGCCCGAGCAGAGGCUCAGCGCCGCCGCCGCCGUCAGAAUCCAGAGUUGCGGGCCGCCGAAGCAGAAGCUAAGCGCCGUCGCCGAAAUGACCCGCAAGUGCGCGCUGCCGAAGCAGAAGCUAGGCGCCGCCGCUGCUGAAAGGGACCCUGCUAUUCGCGCCACCAGGGCAGCAGCUCAGCGCCGCCGCCGUCAGAAUCCAGAGGUGCGUGCCGCCGAAGCAGAAGCUAAGCGCCGUCGCCGAAAUGACCCGGAAGUGCGCGCCGCCGAAGCAGAAGCUUAUCGUCGCCGCUGCCAAGAGGACCCUGCAGUUCGUGCCGCCAAAGCAGAGGCUCAGCGCCGCCGACGUCAGAAUCCAGAGGUGCGCGCCACUGAGGCAGAAGCUAAGCACCGUCGCCGAGAUCUGGGCGUUCGCGCUGCCGAAGCAGAAGCUUAUCGUCGCCGCUGCCAAAAGGACCCUGCAGUUCGCUCCGCCAAAGCAGAGGCUCAGCGUCGCCGACGUCAGAAUCCGGAGGUGUGUGCCGCUGAGGCAGAAGCUAAGCGCCGUCGUCGAGAAGACCCUGCUGUUCACACUGCCAAGGCCGAAGCUAUAUGCAAAGCAAGGCUUGCAAAGAGUGAGGCUGCAACAAACAUUAGCGACAAUCCAUUUGGGAGUGUGUGUUCAGUGUGGGACCGGCUCCAGAAUGACCUGAAACCGUUACCGGAUAGGUGCCACGAGACACUUCAGCGGGAAUUUCCCAACUUGGACCUGUGCCAAUUCAGGCUAUGUUCGACGUGCAUGCGACCUGUGGGGAAGGGUGACAUUCCUUCAUAUUCCCACAACCAACGGUUCCAAAUAUCCCCCGAAGCCCUGGCACCUCCCACAUCUCAAUGCGAAGCCAGUCCAGAAGGAUCGGGGCGACAAAACUGUAGCGAACAGCGACAGUCCGCAGGGCAAUGGGUUGGCGCCGUGGACCGCUCAUGUCAAAGGACGAAGGCAACACAGUGCAAGUCCUGUGUUGAUCAAGUGUGUACAUUUGGCACUCAGACAGAGACUGGACAUGUAAUGGCGGAAACAAGCACCCAAACUGCCAUGGCCUUCACGCGUACCAUCCUGUGCAGACAACAAGACCAACGCAUCUACAGCGGAGGAAGCUGCUAGGUGUUCACCAGGAAGCUACAGUCUCUACCAAACCCAAGGUAACACAGUGCAAGUCCUGUGUUGAUCAAGUGUGUACAUUGGGCAGUCAGACAGAGACUGGACAUGUGAUGGCGGAAACGAGCACCCAAACUGCCAUGGCCUUCCCACGUACCAUUCCUGUGCAGACAAGUCCAACGGAAUUAAGAAGCCAAGGUACAAACACAGGAAUGAUGAGCUGAAAGAGGAAUAAUCAUCCACUCGAUGCUGAAGAGACAUUUCGAAGAGGCUCGACCGGAGGGAAGCAAGCCCCCAUCAAGCUAGCACCUGUUAUGGUCACCUGGCAUCGACUACGUGGAAGCAGCUGUUUGCGGGUGAUGCCAAAUGCUGCCACCAUGAAGAUAGCGCACGAAGAGUGCAUGUGAUAAAGCUUUCAAUGGCAUAUUAUUGUCAACAGUGUUCGAGGAGUACUGUAAUGGCAUUUUCGACUUGUCGCGUUCUUGUUUUUUUAAGUGAAAGUGCAAACCUUCUAAAUGCUUGAAAAAUAUUACCUUCAAGUGUGAUAGCGUCAUAAAGAACUUAUUUAGUGAGGUGCUUUUCUAGUACCAGGAGGUGGACCCACCAUGACAUCAUGACGCACUAGGUCGCUCCGGUCCUGUGGGCACUGCAGCUACAGUCACAGAUGUGCAGCAUUGUGAACCCUGUAUAUUGUCUAAUUUAUCAUAUUUGCUACGCUGCUUGAUACCUCAAAAUUCUGAUUGUCGCACGCAAAACUAUACGCAUAGCCUGCAGCAGCGCUUUUGAUAAAUCGGAAGUUUUAGUUGCAGAUACUUCAGCAAACCAAGUACUAUUAUAAUUAAUUAAUCACUGUAAUAUUGAAAUCACCUCAAAUAACAUUUCAUUGUAUUUUUUGUACAAGUUUGCUCCCCAUGGCCGGAAAUAAAGGUUAUCAAGUUGUAAUUUUUUU